rnacentral:rRNA from 1 species
AAUUCGCCCUUGGGCGGUGUGUACAAGGCAUGCAAGUCGAGCGACGUGCCCUGUUACACUCUGAAAAUGUUUUUUGGAAAACCAAAAGUCAAAGCCGCGAGGCGCCUUACGGCUUUGUAUAUUGGUCAACCACUGAACGUCGGCAGAGUGUAAUAGGGUUACGAGCGGCAAACGGGUGAGUAACACAUUGGUAACCUACCUCCAAGUCAGGGAUAGCCCAUCGAAAGGUGGAUUAAUACCUGAUGGCAAUGCGGGGACGCAAGUCAUUCGCAUUUAAAGAUUUAUUGCUUGGAGAGGGGCCUAUGUCCUAUCAGCUAGUUGGUAAGGUAAUGGCUUACCAAGGCUAUGACGGGUAGCAGGCGUGAGAGCGUGACCUGCCUCACUGGGACUGAGACACUGCCCAGACUCCUACGGGAGGCUGCAGUCAAGAAUAUUCCACAAUGGACGAAAGUCUGAUGGAGCGACGCCGCGUGCAGGAAGACGCCCUUCGGGGUGUAAACUGCUUUUAUAGGGGAAGAAUUUGUGACGGUACCCUACGAAUAAGAGGUUGCUAACUCUGUGCCAGCAGCAGCGGUAAUACAGAGACCUCAAACGUUAUCCGGAUUCAUUGGGCGUAAAGCGUCCGCAGGUGGUUUAACAAGUCAAUAGUCAAAUCUCGGGGCUUAACUUCGGGACUGCUGUUGAGACUGUUAGACUUGAGACUGGGAGAGGCAAACGGAACUAUCGGUGUAGUCGUAAUAAGCGCUGAUAUCGAUAGGAACACCAAAGGCGAAGGCAGUUUGCUAGAACAGUUCUGACACUCAGGGACCAAAGCGUGGGUAGCGAAUAGGAUUAGAUACCCUAGUAGUCCACGCCCUAAACUAUGCGCACUAGGUAUUGGGAGUAUCGACCCUCUCAGUGCCGUUUAAAAAAGUUAACACGUUAAGUGCGCCGCCUGGGGAGUACGGCCGCAAGGUUAAAACUCAAAGGAAUAGACGGGGACCCGCACAAGCGGAGGAUCAUGUGGUUUAAUUCGACGGUACGCGGCGAACCUUACCUGGGCACAACUACUAGCUGCAAGCCCCUGGAAACAGGGGAUUCCUUCGAGGGUGCUAGAUAGGUGCUGCAUGGUUGCCGUCAGCUCGUGCCGUGAGGUGUACAGUUAAGUCUGGUAACGAGCGCACCCUCAUUCUGUGUUAAAUGUACACAGAGGACUGCCCCGUAUAACGGGGAGGAAGGUGAGGACGACGUCAAAUCAGCAUGGCUCUUACGUCCAGGGCCACACACAUGUUACAAUGGUCGGUACAAAGGGAAGCGAAGCCGCGAGGCGGAGCAAAUCCCAUCAAAGCCGACCUCAGUUCGGAUUGAAGGCUGCAACUCGCCUUCAUGAAGCCGGAAUCGCUAGUAAACGCGUAUCAGCUACGGCGCGUUGAAUACGUUACUCGGGCCUUGUACACUCCGCCCAAGGGCGAAUUCCAGCAC